rnacentral:lncRNA from 1 species
AAAAACCCUCCAUGGGACCAAGCAACAAGCCUUUCACUUUCCAUCCUAGAAAAGCUGAGGCACUACCAGGAAGAAAGCAACCAGAGAAUAUGAUGAGAAACACCCAAUGGGUGAUCAAUAAUUGUUCUGUCAACAGUAGGAGGAAGGGGAUGACUAUCUACCUCUGGUCCCUGGAGUGCCCACUCUUCCUUAAAUAGGGCAUUGUGGAAUAGCAAGUGUCCUCACAUCCUUCUAGAUCAUGCCAAAGACUCAUCAGGUUCUGGAAUGAUCCAGUAAUAAAAACGUAGUAAAGCUAAAGUUGCUGCAAGUGAGAGAACAUUUAUGAAUGAGAUUUGUCUCACUGCACUAACAUCAGUAAGUGAAUCAUUCCACCUCCCACUAGCCAGAAAUUCCUCCCGUCAGAUCUGCAGGAUUCACCAUCCAACAGUUUUUAUAUCCAGUUGGGAAACAGGAAGACGGGUCCCCUAUGGUGGAUGUUAAAAUAAACAAGGUCUGGAAGCAUGAAGAACCUCUUGUAGCUCUAAGAAGCUGAGACAGAGAAGGAAGUGCCUGAGCACCCCGUGCAGCAUUUUUAUACGUUGCCUUGAUAUAUAAGUCAAACUCAAUUUACAAAUUAUGACAUGAAUGCUAAUACCCAUUUCUACACAAA